GUGGAUGUGUCAAAGUGGUUAUCGGGUAUAACUAGAAAUCAUGUGGGUUCUCGCUCGCAGGUUCGAAUCCUGCCACUCAUG
rnacentral:tRNA from 1 species